ACACGGUCUCACGGGGAUUCGUGAAACUGUUACGUAAAUUUUUUGUUUCUUUUUCGUGCGCACCAACACGAUUUCGUCAUGUUUUUCGUGCCGCUCACCACGAAAUGUUUUUCGUGUUGCUCACAACGAAACCCGCUGUGGUAAUCACAGCUGAAAGUGGUUUAUACCAGCGGAUUCAUGACGAUCUAAGCUGUCCAUCGGCGUAUACUGCUUGUGUGAUCGCGUUUGCGGCCGCCGGCCGCCGGACAUUCUUUAAAUUCCUAUGCAAAUUGGUAAGUGUACCACCGGGUUAUGGUUAGGUUAUGGUUAGGUUAUGGUUAGGGUUAUGGUUAGGGACGAUGUCAUGCAAAAUAUAGCGUUGGAUUCGCCAUGGUUUUACAUUAAAAAUAUAAUACACACAUUCGUUUGAAAUACGUUCUGGGU